CCUACGGGAGGCAGCAGUGGGGGAUAUUGCACAAUGGGGGGAACCCUGAUGCAGCGACGCCGCGUGGGUGAAGGAGUGCUUCGGCAUGUAAAGCCCUAUCGGCAGGGAAGAAGCAAGACGGUACCUGACUAAGAAGCCCCGGCUAACUACGUGCCAGCAGCCGCGGUAAUACGUAGGGUGCGAGCGUUAUCCGGAUUCACUGGGUGUAAAGGGAGCGUAGACGGCCAUGCAAGCCAGGGGUGAAAGCCCGGGGCCCAACCCCGGGACUGCCCUUGGAACUGCAUGGCUUGAGUGCGGGAGGGGCAGGCGGAAUUCCUGGUGUAGCGGUGAAAUGCGUAGAUAGCAGGAGGAACACCGGCGGCGAAGGCGGCCUGCUGGACCGCGACUGACGUUGAGGCUCGAAAGCGUGGGGAGCGAACAGGAUUAGAUACCCUAGUAGUC
rnacentral:rRNA from 1 species